CAACUUACCUGGCAGGGGAGACACCAUGAUCAGGCAGGUGGGUUUCCCAGGGUGAGGCUCAUCCCCUGCCCUCCAGGUGUGCUGAUCUCUGCAAUUUCCCCAAAAGGAAAAAACUCAUCUCUUUUGGUUUGGGGUUUUUUUGUUUUGUUUUUCAGUUGA